rnacentral:rRNA from 1 species
UACAGAGGGUGCAAGUGUUGUUCGGAAUUAUUGGGCGUAAAGCGCGCGUAGGUUGUUUAGUAAGUCGAAUGUGAAAGCCCUGGGCUCAACCCAGGAACUGCAUCCGAAACUGCUAAUCUAGAGUUUGGUAGAGGAGAGUGGAAUUCCCGGUGUAGAGGUGAAAUUCGUAGAGAUCGGGAGGAACACCAGUGGCGAAAGCGGCUCUCUGGGCCAAAACUGACGCUGAGGCGCGAGAGCGUGGGGAGCAAACAGG